AGGGAAUAUUGCACAAUGGAGGAAACUCUGAUGCAGCGACGCCGCGUGAGUGACGAAGGCCUUCUGGUUGUAAAGCUCUGUUCUCAGGGAAAAAGCAAGUGAUUGUACCUGAGGAGAAAGGACCGGCUAACUUCGUGCCAGCAGCCGCGGUAAGACGAGGGGUCCAAGCGUUGUUCGGAAUCAUUGGGCGUAAAGCGGGUGUAGGCGGCUCUAUAAGUCAGGAGUGAAAGCCCCGAGCUCAACUCGGGAAGUGCUUUUGAUACUGCAGAGCUUGAAUGUGGGAGAGGGUAGUGGAAUUCCAGGUGUAGUGGUGAAAUACGUAGAUAUCUGGAGGAACACCGGUGGCGAAGGCGGCUACCUGGCCCAACAUUGACGCUGAGACCCGAAAGCGUGGGGAUCAAACA
rnacentral:rRNA from 1 species